rnacentral:rRNA from 1 species
CCUACGGGAGGCAGCAGUGAGGAAUAUUGGUCAAUGGGCGCAAGCCUGAACCAGCCAUGCCGCGUGCAGGAAGACGGUCCUAUGGAUUGUAAACUGCUUUUAUACAGGAAGAAACAACUCUACGUGUAGAGUCUUGACGGUACUGUAGGAAUAAGGAUCGGCUAACUCCGUGCCAGCAGCCGCGGUAAU